rnacentral:rRNA from 1 species
GACGAACGCUGGCGGCGUGCUUAACACAUGCAAGUCGAACGAUGAAGCCCAGCUUGCUGGGUGGAUUAGUGGCGAACGGGUGAGUAACACGUGAGUAACCUGCCCUGGACUCUGGGAUAACCCCGAGAAAUCGGAGCUAAUACCGGAUAGGACCCUGUACCGCAUGGUGUGGGGUGGAAAGUUUUUCGGUUUGGGAUGGACUCGCGGCCUAUCAGCUUGUUGGUGAGGUAAUGGCUCACCAAGGCGUCGACGGGUAGCCGGCCUGAGAGGGUGACCGGCCACACUGGGACUGAGACACGGCCCAGACUCCUACGGGAGGCAGCAGUGGGGAAUAUUGCACAAUGGGAGCAAGCCUGAUGCAGCAACGCCGCGUGCGGGAUGACGGCCUUCGGGUUGUAAACCGCUUUUAAUAAGGAAGAAGGGGAGCUUGCUCCUUGACGGUACUUGCAGAAAAAGGACCGGCUAACUACGUGCCAGCCGCCGCAGUAACAC